AAUCCAGACUCCUACGGGAGGCAGCAGUGGGGAAUAUUGGGCAAUGGGCGCAAGCCUGACCCAGCAACGCCGCGUGAAGGAAGAAGGCUUUCGGGUUGUAAACUUCUUUUAAGAGGGAAGAGCAGAAGACGGUACCUCUUGAAUAAGCCACGGCUAACUACGUGCCAGCAGCCGCGGUAAUACGUAGGUGGCAAGCGUUGUCCGGAUUUACUGGGUGUAAAGGGCGUGCAGCCGGGAGUGCAAGUCAGAUGUGAAAUCCCGCGGCUCAACCGCGGAACUGCAUUUGAAACUGUGCUUCUUGAGUGCUGGAGAGGCAGACGGAAUUCCUAGUGUAGCGGUGAAAUGCGUAGAUAUCACGCAGAACUCCGAUUGCGAAGGCAGCGCACCGGCGCCCUACUGACGCUCAGGCACGAAAGCGUGGGUAUCGAACAGGAUUAGAUACCCCAGUAAG
rnacentral:rRNA from 1 species